ensembl:lncRNA
GGAAGCUGAUAAAAAAGGGACAGAACAGACAGCCGGAGGGGCUGCGUCUCAAACAAUUUCAGCCCACUUUGCCAGACUGCCUCUGUCCGUGCCCCUGGAUGGAAAGAGUGGGUAAGCUGCUCCAGACAAGGAAUAAACAGGAGUGUUAUGUAGAAGAGUGUACUUGCGCUACAGAUGAAGUAAACCUGUGACAGCUCCACGUCCAAGCAGAAGCAUUCAGGAUAAUUCUGAUUCACUGAAUUCAGCACACCAAGUUUGCGGCAUCUCAGCUUUGGUGGACUUCUGCUGAACUCAAGGUAGAACUCUGCUGAAGCCUUUCCACAGCUAUUGCAGACAGCUGAGAGCAAAAGACCUCUGAGUUUUGUGGUUGUGCAUCAGAGCCACCAGCUGAGAUGAUUAAAGACAGUGUACAUGUUUACACAGAGCAGAGAGGCGCUGGAACUGCAGGCAGCACCACGGCCUCAGCGCAGCACGGUGCCAAUAAGCACACUAGCUAGUGUGCACACUUCCAAAGAGCCACCCACAUUAGUGCAGCUGGACUGACAGCAGUGCUCUGUGAAGAUGAAGCAUAGAUGUAUCAGCCUGGUGGGCUGCAAGCUGGUGGCUCCUGGCGGCUGUAGGAGCUGCAUCUCCCCUCCGUUCUCAUGGAAGCGCAGGGAUCCAGGAAGCUCCUCUGGAUGAUGAUCCUUCACUAACGUGGUCAAGAAAUGCACGCAGGCUAGGAAAAAGACAUGGAUGAUCUAAAAUUCCUUUUCCAGGUUAUUUCCUGGCCUCCCUUCCGUGACCUAUGACCGAUGAUGACCUUUAGCUAGAGAAUGUGACAUUUUGUUCUCCUCUGGCUGACAUGUGAUGCCCUCAUUAUUCAAAGGUUUACUGAUAUCAUACCAGAAUGCUGGAAAGCAUGAGAGAAGGAUUUCCUGGAUACCAUCUCUGUUCAAACAAGGAUAAAGUGCAGCCAAAGAAGGAAAGACAAACAAAAGAUUUAAAGCGUUGCUAGAGAAGGAAAGAACUAGAUGAGAAACCACAAUCUGGAUGUAAUUAAGAGGAAUUCAGCACUGCUCUUCUCUGUGAUGCCACUCAUUACCUGUGCAAGACCUUUUCAACAUAGAAGCAGAAGACAAACACUUGCAAAGGGAAAACAACUCCCUGUAACUACAUACUGCAUCUCUCACCACGCUUUUUAAUCUCUAACACACUAGGAGCAUGUGCCAGAUAGCAUGUGUACCUUUCAGAGAUAACCUGGAGUUACACAGCCACCAGCUCAAGCAACAUGAACUUCAGCCUCACACGGCCUGUUCCAAUUUGCCCACGCUAAGCCUUCAUGUUCCCACAGCAAAUGCCAGUGCCUUGAGUUUGCUGGAUACAGAUACUCCAAGGGACUGCUUAGUUUUACAGGAUCCUUCAGCACUUCCAGAACUGCUGAGAACCUGGGCCAUAUCUGUCAGCUGAGAUGGCAGAAGAAGAAAUCCCUAUCGUACAGCUUGUAAAUGAAGAGGUCUUGCUGGACUAGAUAACUGUACAGAUUGAAGGAAAUACUUGAUGAAGACUCCACAAAUUCCUCAUUAUUUCUUUGUUUCACCUGCCUCAUGAAUAUUUGCAUGAACAGAUUUUGGCUCACACUGGGAGAUACCCUCUCAUAUAAAUAUCUAUGGUAACAUAGCAACAAGGGAUUUGGUGCAUAAAACUACUUUUUUUAACUGAUGUCUCUUAGUUUCUAAAAUGAUCAUUUCUAAAAUGAAUUUGAAACCUAAAUUCAUUUUCUCUCAAACAUUUUCAACCAUGAUUCUGCACAAGUGUUAUUAUGGCUUCACUCUUUAGUUACAAAUGCUUUGAAAAUAAUUUAUAUUUGACUUGAUAUUGAAACAGUGCCAUUUGUAAGAUGAUCUUCAGGUGGUCAUUCUAUGGCAUGCUGUUUUCUACCAUUUGUAUUUUAAAAUUAAUCAUGAAAUCCUUCCACCAUAGAUUAAAUAAAAUAUCAUAAAGUAUAAAAACAAGGGCUGUACCUGAGGCUUGAAAGUUGCUAUUCCUGACAGCACUUCAUCUUUUUCAUACCCAUAUUGGCUUUUAUCCCGGCCCAUCUAUUCCUUAAUGUAACUGUUAUAAAUUGAUGUAAAGUGCCAUAAAAUAUAAUAAACAUGAAUCAAUAUUUCUUGGUUAAAAAACUUAGAAAUGCUGAUGAAGCUCAAGUUUAUUAUAGAUGUCCUGAACCCACAAUGUGCCUUUAUUUUUUUUUUACCUUCAUCAUUUUUUCAGGUCUUGAGUUCAUGUGUGCAUACACAUUCACUCUUCACAAAUCAAAGAGGCAGUGAAAAUUAAAA